UAAUAAUGCCACUGCAACAAUUACAUUCGAACCGGGUCAGGACCGAAAGGUAGCAGCCAUAAGGAUUAGGAUUGUGUGCGGUGGUUUUAUUUUGA
rnacentral:SRP_RNA from 2 species